GAUGCAACGCGAAAAACCUUACCUACCCUUGACAUGGAAGGAAUCCCGAAGAGAUUUGGGAGUGCUCGAAAGAGAACCUUUACACAGGUGCUGCAUGGCUGUCGUCAGCUCGUGUCGUGAGAUGUUGGGUUAAGUCCCGCAACGAGCGCAACCCUUGUCAUUAGUUGCUACGAAAGGGCACUCUAAUGAGACUGCCGGUGACAAACCGGAGGAAGGUGGGGAUGACGUCAAGUCCUCAUGGCCCUUAUGGGUAGGGCUUCACACGUCAUACAAUGGUACAUACAGAGGGCCGCCAACCCGCGAGGGGGAGCUAAUCCCAGAAAGUGUAUCGUAGUCCGGAUUGUAGUCUGCAACUCGACUACAUGAAGUUGGAAUCGCUAGUAAUCGCGGAUCAGCAUGUCGCGGUGAAUACGUUCCCGGGUCUUGUACACACCGCCCGUCACACCAUGGGAGCGGGUUUCGCCAGAAGUAGGUAGCUUAACCGUAAGGAGGGCGCUUACCACGGCGGGGUUCGUGACUGGGGUGAAGUCGUAACAAGGUAACCGU
rnacentral:rRNA from 1 species